rnacentral:rRNA from 1 species
UUUCUUCGGAGAAGAGACCGGCGCACGGGUGCGUAACGCGUGUGCGAUCUACCUUUUACAGAGGGAUAGCCCAGAGAAAUUUGGAUUAAUACCUCAUAGUAUAGCUCUACCGCAUGGUAGUACUAUUAAAGUCACAACGGUAAAAGAUGAGCAUGCGUCCCAUUAGCUGGUUGGUAAGGUAACGGCUUACCAAGGCUACGAUGGGUAGGGGUCCUGAGAGGGAGAUCCCCCACACUGGUACUGAGACACGGACCAGACUCCUACGGGAGGCAGCAGUGAGGAAUAUUGGACAAUGGGCGCAAGCCUGAUCCAGCCAUGCCGCGUGCAGGAUGACGGUCCUAUGGAUUGUAAACUGCUUUUAUACGAGAAGAAACACUGCUUCGUGAAGCAGCUUGACGGUAUCGUAAGAAUAAGGAUCGGCUAACUCCGUGCCAGCAGCCGCGGUAAUACGGAGGAUCCAAGCGUUAUCCGGAAUCAUUGGGUUUAAAGGGUCCGUAGGCGGUUUAAUAAGUCAGUGGUGAAAGCCCAUCGCUCAACGGUGGAACGGCCAUUGAUACUGUUAAACUUGAAUUAUUAGGAAGUAACUAGAAUAUGUAGUGUAGCGGUGAAAUGCUUAGAGAUUACAUGGAAUACCAAUUGCGAAGGCAGGUUACUACUAAUGGAUUGACGCUGAUGGACGAAAGCGUGGGUAGCGAACAGGAUUAGAUACCCUGGUAGUCCACGCCGUAAACGAUGGAUACUAGCUGUUGGA